rnacentral:rRNA from 1 species
GACGAACGCUGGCGGCGUGCUUAACACAUGCAAGUCGAACGGAAAGGCCCUGCUUUUGUGGGGUGCUCGAGUGGCGAACGGGUGAGUAACACGUGAGUAGCCUGCCCUUGACUUUGGGAUAACUUCAGGAAACUGGGGCUAAUACCGGAUAGGAGCUCCUGCUGCAUGGUGGGGGUUGGAAAGUUUCGGCGGUUGGGGAUGGACUCGCGGCUUAUCAGCUUGUUGGUGGGGUAGUGGCUUACCAAGGCUUUGACGGGUGGCCGGCAUGAGAGGGUGACCGGCCACAUUGGGACUGAGAUACGGCCCAGAAUCCUACGGGAGGCAGCAGUGGGGAAUAUUGCACAAUGGGCGGAAGCCUGAUGCAGCAACGCCGCGUGCGGGAUGACGGCCUUCGGGUUGUAAACCGCUUUCGCCUGUGACGACGCGUGAGUGACGGUAAUGGGUAAAGAAGCACCGGCUAACUACGUG